GACGAACGCUGGCGGCGUGCUUAACACAUGCAAGUCGUACGCUGAAGCCUGCUUCGGUGGGUGGAUGAGUGGCGAACGGGUGAGUAACACGUGGGUAAUCUGCCUUGUACUCUGGGAUAAGCCCGGGAAACUGGGUCUAAUACCGGAUAGGACUGCUCCUCGCAUGGGGAGUGGUGGAAAGCUCCGGCGGUAUGAGUUGAGCCCGCGGCCUAUCAGCUUGUUGGUGGGGUGAUGGGCUACCAAGGCGGUGACGGGUAGCCGGCCGGCGAGGGUAACCGGGCAGAAGGGGACUGGAGCACGGCCCAGACUGGUAGGGAAGGAAGCAGUGGGGAAUAUUGCACAAUGGGCGCAAGCCUGAUGCAGCGGCGCCGCGUGAGGGAUGACGGCCUUCGGGUUGGAAACCUCUUUCGCCAGGGACGAAGGGUGAUACUGACGGUACCUGGAGAAGAAGCACCGGCUAACUACGUGCCAGCCGCCGCCGUAACAC
rnacentral:rRNA from 1 species